UACGGUGAAUACGUUCCCGGACCUUGCACACACCGCCUGUCAAGCCAUGGAAGCCGGGUGUACCUAAAGUCGGUAACCGUAAGGAGCCGCCUAGGGUAAAACUGGUGACUGGGGUU
rnacentral:rRNA from 1 species